rnacentral:rRNA from 1 species
GACGAACGCUGGCGGCGUGCUUAACACAUGCAAGUCGAACGGAAAGGCCCUUCGGGGUGCUCGAGUGGCGAACGGGUGAGUAACACGUGGGUGAUCUGCCCUGCACUUUGGGAUAAGCCUGGGAAACUGGGUCUAAUACCGAAUAUUCCCCUCCUGUUGCAUGGUGGGUGGGGGAAAGCUUUUGCGGUGUGGGAUGGGCCCGCGGCCUUUCAGCUUGUUGGUGGGGUGAUGGCCUACCAAGGCGACGACGGGUAGCCGGCCUGAGAGGGUGUCCGGCCACACUGGGACUGAGAUACGGCCCAGACUCCUACGGGAGGCAGCAGUGGGGAAUAUUGCACAAUGGGCGCAAGCCUGAUGCAGCGACGCCGCGUGAGGGAUGACGGCCUUCGGGUUGUAAACCUCUUUCAAUAGGGACGAAGCGCGAGUGACGGUACCUAUAGAAGAAGCACCGGCCAACUACGUGCCAGCCGCCGCUGUAAUAC